GAUGAACGCUGGCGGCGUGCCUAAUACAUGCAAGUCGAGCGAACGGACGAGAAUCUUUCUUCUCUGAUGUUAGCGGCGGACGGGUGAGUAACACGUGGAUAGCCUACCUAUAAGACUUGGAUAACUGCGGGAAACCGGAGCUAAUACCGUAUAAUAUGUUGAACCGCAUGGUUCAAGAGUGAAAGACUGUCUUGCUGUCACUUAUAGAUGGAUCCGCGCUGCAUUAGCUAGUUUGUAAGGUAACGGCUUACCAAGGCAACGAUGCAUAGCCGACCUGAGAGGGUGAUCGGCCACACUGGAACUGAGACACGGUCCAGACGCCUAAGGGAGGCAGCAGUAGGGAAUCUUCCGCAAUGGGCGAAAGCCUGACGGAGCAACGCCGCGUGAGUGAUGAAGGUCUUCGGAUAGUAAAACUCUGUUAUUAGGGAAGAACAUAUGUGUAAGUAACUGUGCACAUCUUGACGGUACCUAAUCAGAAAGCCACGGCUAACUACGUG
rnacentral:rRNA from 1 species